rnacentral:rRNA from 1 species
AAUGAACGCUGGCGGUAGGCCUAACACAUGCAAGUCGAACGGCAGCACAGUAAGAGCUUGCUCUUACGGGUGGCGAGUGGCGGACGGGUGAGGAAUACAUCGGAAUCUACUUUUUCGUGGGGGAUAACGUAGGGAAACUUACGCUAAUACCGCAUACGACCUACGGGUGAAAGCAGGGGAUCUUCGGACCUUGCGCGAUUGAAUUAGCCGAUGUCGGAUUAGCUAGUUGGCGGGGUAAAGGCCCACCAAGGCGACGAUCCGUAGCUGGUCUGAGAGGAUGAUCAGCCACACUGGAACUGAGACACGGUCCAGACUCCUACGGGAGGCAGCAGUGGGGAAUAUUGGACAAUGGGCGCAAGCCUGAUCCAGCCAUACCGCGUGGGUGAAGAAGGCCUUCGGGUUGUAAAGCCCUUUUGUUGGGAAAGAAAAGCAGCAGGUUAAUACCCCGCUGUUCUGACGGUACCAAAAGAAUAAGCACCGGCUAACUUCGUG